rnacentral:rRNA from 1 species
UACAGAGACUGCAAGCGUUAUUCGGAUUCACUGGGCGUAAAGGGUGCGCAGGCGGCCGUGUGUGUAUGGUGUGAAGUCCCGAGGCUCAACCUCGGAACUGCGCCUUAAACUACAUGGCUAGGGUAUUGGAGAGGGUAGCGGAAUUCACGGUGUAGCAGUGAAAUGCGUAGAUAUCGUGAGGAACACCAGAGGCGAAGGCGGUUACCUGGACAAUUACUGACGCUCAGGCACGAAAGCAUGGGGAGCAAAAGGG